GAUGAACGCUGGCGGUAUGCUUAACACAUGCAAGUCGAACGGACUCUUCGGAGUUAGUGGCGGACGGGUGAGUAACGCGUGAGAAUCUGGCUUUGGGUUCGGGACAACCACUGGAAACGGUGGCUAAUACCGGAUGUGCCGAGAGGUAAAAGAGAAAUUGCCUGAAGAUGAGCUCGCGUCUGAUUAGCUAGUUGGUGAGGUAAAGGCUCACCAAGGCAGCGAUCAGUAGCUGGUCUGAGAGGAUGACCAGCCACACUGGGACUGAGACACGGCCCAGACUCCUACGGGAGGCAGCAGUGGGGAAUUUUCCGCAAUGGGCGAAAGCCUGACGGAGCAAUACCGCGUGAGGGAGGAAGGCUCUUGGGUUGUAAACCUCUUUUCUUAGGGAAGAACAAAAUGACGGUACCUAAGGAAUCAGCAUCGGCUAACUCCGUG
rnacentral:rRNA from 1 species